GGGUCAGUAGGUUGGUCGUGCCACCGGUACGUACCGGUCUCACUGAUUCCUCCUUCCUGAAGAACCGUAAUGCCAUUAAUUUGGUGUUGCGGGGAAACAGGACUGUUACUUUGAAAAAAUUAGAGUGUUUAAAGCAAGCUAACGCUUGAAUACAUUAGCAUGGAAUAAUGAAACAGGACGAUCGAUCCUAUUUUGUUGGUUUCUAGGAUUGACGUA
rnacentral:rRNA from 1 species